ensembl:miRNA
GGCUCAGUCGGGGUCGGAGCCGGGAUCCGGAGUCCGCCUCGCGGUCCAGCGUCGUGGAUCCGAGUCGUGGAUCGGAGCCGGGGUCCGGAGUCCGCCUCGCGGUCCAGCCUCGUGGUUCU